CCUACGGGGGGCAGCAGUGAGGAAUAUUGGUCAAUGGACGCAAGUCUGAACCAGCCAAGUAGCGUGAAGGAUGACUGCCCUCCGGGUUGUAAACUGCUUUUAUACGAGGGUAAACCCAGACACGCGUAUCUGUCUGAAAGUAUCUUACGAAUAAGGAUCGGCUAACUCCGUGCCAGCAGCCGCGGUAAUACGGAGGAUUCAAGCGUUAUCCGGAUUUAUUGGGUUUAAAGGGUGCGUAGGCGGUCGGUUAAGUUAGAGGUGAAAGCCCGAGGCUCAACUUCAGAAUUGCAUCUGAUACUGGUCGGCUAGAGAAUAGUUGAGGUAGGCGGAAUGUAUGGUGUAGCGGUGAAAUGCUUAGAGAUC
rnacentral:rRNA from 1 species